GAAGCUCAGUCGGUAGAGCACAAGACUCUUAAUCACAGGCUCAUGAGUUCGAGUCCCAGGUUAGGCA